AUAGUAAACACUAGAGUCUAAAUUCUAACCAGAUAAUCAUCAACCUCACACUAAAGGCCUAUCUGCCUCUGUUCCUCUUUCCUGAUACAUCAUGUCCAACUUUCAACAGAAAAUUGCAAGCCAUGCUAAUGGGUAUCUCUGCCUAUCUCUGCCCUCAGUGAAUUUAUUUCAAUUAGCCAUUCUUGAUUUGAGUGAAGGGCUCCAGGACAGAUAACCACAGUAAUAAGAAGUAUUUAGAAGUCCCAGCUUGAUAUGCAAUCCUCUGAAUGUGUUGAGUGUGAGGUAAUACAGACGUAAUAUGCUGGAAAACUUCUUAAAAAAAAACCCCAAUGUAUAAUGGCUGGUGUAAUAUCACAGUAAAGUUAAUGUGAUUUUCAUGACUUAUCCUCUCAUUACCUGGAGUACACAGAUCAUUGCAAUCAUAAUAUUGCUAUGAAGAAAUUUGAUCAUUUGACAAAAUGCUUCAUUUGGUUAGCAAAAGGGGGAAAAAAAUCCCCUGACCCUCAGCCAGCUACAUAUUAUUACAAUGGCCUACCAAGUCAAGAUGUGCAAGAGGAGAAAUUAUUUGAUUAGCUGCUGUACUGAGUACCUUCAUUUUAAUAUAAAUAGAACAUUUCAUCAUGCAAUGGCAAAGAAUCAUGGAAAGUACAACUCCCGGUAUUACUGGACAUGAUGCAUAAGAUGUAUUUCAAAAGAGGUCCAAAAAAGCAAAAAGAACAAGACAAAUUUAAUAAAAGGGUAUCAAUAUUAUUUACCUAAAUAUAAUGCAAACCAUAGUUUUGUAACAGCUAAGAGUGAAAAUGGAAGAUAAGGCUAUAACAAUUUUGUGUCUGUGGCUAUUGCCAGAAUAAAAGGA